UUUUUUUUUUUUUUUUUUUUUUUUUGGAAAAAAAAGGGUUUUACAUACCUAUUCCUUUUUUUUUUUUUUUUUUUUUUUUUUCUUUCUUUCUUUCUUUUUUCUCCUAUACAUUUGUUUCCCUCUUCGUUGCAUUUUGGUUUUUUUCUCUGGUUGGAUAACAUUGGAGAGUAUUUUGUAUUUCACACAUAAACACUGGCUCUAUUUUCAUCUGGUAAAAUGAAAUAGGAAUUCCAUUUAAUAUAUUAACUACAUUUUCCUGCAAUUAUAACAUGUAUAUUGCAUACUUUCUUGCCUUAAAAUCCACUUCACAAUGUCACCUUCCAUUUUCAGAAAUGGAAGUGAUAUAGUUACUCUUCACUUACACAGAAUUCCUCAAAAUAUCACCAGUGACAUCACACUACCAAAGGAAAGAUAAUGAUUUCAUAGCUUUUUUUAGUUGGUUGUUGUUAUUUAGAAAUCUGAUGUUAAAUGUGCUUCUUCCUUGAACAUUAGAAGAACAUCAAGAAAAUUACUCAAAGUAUAGAAGCAUGUUACUACUUAAGGCCUUGAAAGCUGUUCAUUACAUUCUACAUGCUUGAGAAACAACAAGUCAUCAAAUCGCUUGCUCCUUCAAACUAAAUUAAUCUUUAAAAAAAAAAGUCACAAAACUAGAAUUCAUUCCUUCUCAGUAGAGACUUUUACACUUGUGCAUAAAGAAAAGAGAACUAAACAUUAAAAAAAAAAAAAACGCUUACGCCUGGAGAAGGCACGUUGGGAUUUAAUAUUUGCCCCCAACAACGGGUUCACUUGGCUAAGCAUCACUGAGCAUCAAUGUAUAAAUUGUGCGCUUUCAUUCAGAGCCACUGCAUUUCCACAAUAUAAGUGCAUAAGACCACAUGCUGGUAUUCUCCACAAAAGUCACUUGUUAUUUAAAUCAGAACUACAAACCUGCUCCCUCACCUCCCCCUCUCCAGCCCCUAGAGGGGCAUAUUCUCAUUAACAUUCUUAAUGUUAAUUGGAAUUACAUGUGCACAUCAAGAGGAGAGUACACCUCCAGAUGCGAUAUUUGCAAGCUUCAUAUUAAGCCAAACUGCGUUGAAAUAAAACACAUCAUUGAACACACAGUCCUAUCUUGAUAUUAAACAGUACUAUAUGUUUUUAUACAGAAAACCAGGUCUUACACACAGAUAAAAAUGAAUUCCACAUAUACAACUGUAGCCUCCAUUGCUACAGGAUCUGAUCUUGCCAUUUUUCGCUCGUGUGAAAAUGCCUGCUGCCUACGAGGUACAUAUAGGUUUAUGAUCCAGCACACUUGUCUGCAAUGGAAACUAGGAGCAUAUCUCAAUGAUUUUAAAAUGCUGACAAGACAACAUUACUUAGACUCACUUGUUCAGAAAGGAGCUAUAUGGUUCCCCAAAAAAUGGAAAUUAUAAAAAAAUCAAGUUAGUCCCUGUACUUGCUAACCUCAUGAAAAUAAUACAUUUUAAAAUAAAUAUAAUAACCUGGAAAUUUAGUGUUUUCAGAAAUAAACCUACCAAAAAUAUACAAAAUAUAGCACCGCUUUACCUUAUUUACUGUAUUUUUCUAAUUUUAAUUCUACUGUUUACACUAAAUUCUUUAAGAAUUCUGUUUGCAAAUGUAAAUGUGGAGUAGAUUAGAAGACUGAUCUGAAAUCUGGAAAACACAAACAGAUUAGUUUAAUCUUUGCAGAAAAUUCAUGGUGGAAUACUGUUUUCUUUACUGAGUCUUUCUCUUUCCGUUUAAUGAGAAUUUUCUAUUGUUAGUUUUAAGCAAUUUAGUCAACAAAUCAUGAAGAUCUCCAACACAAUUAGAUAGAAAUGUAGUCCCAUAAGCAAGGGACAAGUUUGAUUCAAAAGGCAUAAACUGAGGUUUCAUCCUUUUAACAAAACUCUCCUAAUAUGAUUACAGAAACAUAAAUUGAAAUAAUGUCAAAUUCUACUAGAAUCAUUAUAAAUAAAACAAUAUGCUGAAGCUUCACAGCUUGUAUUCUCCAAGGCUAUAAAAAAAGGCAAACACAAGUCAGACAAUAUCAAGGAAAAUGGAGUUGGAGCUGAGGAAAAUAUUCAUUUAGAAAUGAUCUUUACUCAUGGAGUGACAUGCUAGGUUUAAGCCCAUGACAUCUUGGAAGUGCUCAUGUAAAAUCUCAUUUGCCUAUUCUUCCUUACUUGUAAAGAUGGUCAUCAAAACAAGAUCUGCUGCCGAAUAAGUAAUGCAAACGUCACAUUUAUCUUGCUAACAUUAGAGGAAGACAUAAGAGAUGUUAUAUCAGAAUAUUUUUUAAAAAGCAAGAAGCAAUCCCUUCCCCAUACUGAAAUCAUACAUUGAAUACCAGGUUUCAGGUAUGUUGCAGUCACAAAUGCAUAGACAUGAGAA
ensembl:lncRNA